AUAUAAAUAAGCGGAGGAAAAGAAACUAACAAGGAUUCCAAUAGUAACGGCGAGUGAAGUUGGAAAAGCUCAAGGUUAAAAUCUGCCUGCAAAGGCCGAAUUGUAGUCUAAAGAAGCGAUUAUGGCGAAAAGCAUUGUUACAAGUCUCUUGGAAUAGAGUGCCAGAGAGGGUGAGAGCCCCGUAGUAACUUUGGCGUAAGAGCUAUAUAUAUCGUUUUCAAAGAGUCGGGUUGUUUGAGAUCGCAGCCCCAAUUGGGAGGUAAAUUCCUUCUAAAGCUAAAUACUGGCCAGAGACCGAUAGCGCACAAGUA
rnacentral:rRNA from 1 species